rnacentral:lncRNA from 1 species
CUGUAAGCAAGCUCUUCUGGUCUGUCGAUUUACCUGGUUCUGAGUCAAUCUGUUACUCAUAGUUCAUGGUUAACAUUCUUCAUUGCUACUGAAUCACUCUCUCUCUCUCUCUGAAGCUCUACCGAGAAAUUAAACAUCUAGGUUUUCUCUUCCGUGGCUUCAGAAAGCCUGAAACCUCUAAUCUCUCCCUGGGUUCCUUUCCCCCAUCUGCUUUCGGAUGUUUUCAAUGGACUCAAAAGGAUUGACUUGCAAAUAUUGGGCACAGAUCUCUAAGCUGAGAACGAAGGAAGAAGACAGUUUACCAGCUGAGGAUUGCUGGUCACAGAAUGAUGAAGCUAAUAAUAAUGCAUGGAAUUUUGAUUAUAUCUAUCUUUUCAUUUGUGUGCAGGUUUUUGUCCACUUUGGUGCCUCGUGGUGUGUUCCAUCCCUCGCCAUGAACUCAUUCUUCGAGGAGCUGGCCUUGACUUACCAGGACAUCCUGUUUCUCGUGGUCGAUGUUGAUGAAGUCAAGGUACGGUUUAUGACCUCGGUAGCCAUGAUCCUGAGGAAGAUCAUGUGGGCUGUUGAUGGUAGUACGAGUGGUCUACCUAAUCUUCACCUACCAUUUUCCUGUGGGCUGUUUCUUCCGAGUGCAGCAGCACUUCUCCAAAACCUUGUGCUACUUGAAACUGAUAUAUAUAUGCUUGUCAUGAACAUCUUUGUUUGUGCUACUUUAAUCUGAAAUAUUAUCAUACGCAUCUUCAAUUGAAAAUUUACAGGGGGUUGCCUCUAAGAUGGAGGUGAAGGCGAUGCCCACCUUUGUACUGAUGAGGGAUGGCGCAGUGCUAGACAAGAUUGUCGGGGCCAAUCCGGAGGAGAUAAGGAAGAGGAUCGAUGGUUUCGUUCAAUCUUUUCGUCGCCCAAAUAUGGUCGACUAGUUAGAGUUCACUGCAAAUAGACCCACCCACCCUGUUCCUUGCUCUAACUACAGCAUGUAGUGUUCUUAAGUAAUGUGUGGCUACCUAUAUCUGAUGCUGGUUUCGCUAUGUUGCACUUGCAAACCAGGGAAAGCUUAAAGAGUUGGUCGGUGCCAAAUGACGAACCUUAUACAGACAGCAGUGCAAUCAACUCUCAUUC